rnacentral:rRNA from 1 species
GACGAACGCUGGCGGCGUGCUUAACACAUGCCAGUCGAACGGAAAGGCCCUGCUUUUGUGGGGUGCUCGAGUGGCGAACGGGUGAGUAACACGUGAGUAACCUGCCCUUGACUUUGGGAUAACUUCAGGAAACUGGGGCUAAUACCGGAUAGGAGCUCCUGCUGCAUGGUGGGGGUUGGAAAGUUUCGGCGGUUGGGGAUGGACUCGCGGCUUAUCAGCUUGUUGGUGGGGUAGUGGCUUACCAUGGCUUUGACGGGUAGCCGGCCUGAGAGGGUGACCGGCCACAUUGGGACUGAGAUACGGCCCAGACUCCUACGGGAGGCAGCAGUGGGGAAUAUUGCACAAUGGGCGGAAGCCUGAUGCAGCAACGCCGCGUGCGGGAUGACGGCCUUCGGGUUGUAAACCGCUUUCGCCUGUGACGAAGCGUGAGUGACGGUAAUGGGUAAAGAAGCACCGGCUAACUACGUG